UACGUAGGGUGCGAGCGUUAAUCGGAAUUACUGGGCGUAAAGCGUGCGCAGGCGGUUCGUUGUGUCGGCGGUGAAAGCCCCGGGCUUAACCUGGGAAUGGCCGUUGAAACUGGCGAACUGGAGUGUGGCAGAGGGGGGUGGAAUUCCGCGUGUAGCAGUGAAAAUGCGUAGAGAUGCGGAGGAACACCGAUGGCGAAGGCAGCCCCCUGGGCUAACACUGACGCUCAGGCACGAAAGCGUGGGGAGCAAACAGG
rnacentral:rRNA from 1 species